rnacentral:rRNA from 1 species
GGAUCCAGACUUUGCCCCUGGCUCAGGAUGAACGCUGGCGGCGUGCUUAACACAUGCAAGUCGAACGGGAAAUACUUUAUUGAAACUUCGGUGGAUUUAAUUUAUUUCUAGUGGCGGACGGGUGAGUAACGCGUGGGUAACCUGCCUUAUACUGGGGGAUAACAGCCAGAAAUGGCUGCUAAUACCGCAUAAGCGCACAGAACCGCAUGGUUCCGUGUGAAAAACUCCGGUGGUAUAAGAUGGACCCGCGUUGGAUUAGCUAGUUGGCAGGGCAGCGGCCUACCAAGGCAACGAUCCAUAGCCGGCCUGAGAGGGUGAACGGCCACAUUGGGACUGAGACACGGCCCAGACUCCUACGGGAGGCAGCAGUGGGGAAUAUUGCACAAUGGGGGAAACCCUGAUGCAGCGACGCCGCGUGAAGGAAGAAG